CGCAGCUGGGGAGGAAGGUGCUGGGCAGCUGAGAGCUAAAGCACAUGGACAUGGGGUCCCAGGCUCACCUCCUCUUUUUCCUGUUGUUCUGGAUCCCAGAUGCCCGAGGGGCCAUUGAGCUGACCCAGUCUCCAGCCUCCCUGUCUGUGUCUCCAGGAGAGAAAGCUACCAUGUCCUGCACAGCCAGUCAGGGCAUUAGCAAUUACCUACACUGGUACCAACAGAAACCAGGCCAGGCUCCUAGGCUCCUCAUUAGAUACGCUUCCACCCUGCAUGGUGGGGUCCCCUCGAGGUUCAGUGGCAGUGGCUCUGGGACAGAUUUCUCCCUCACAAUCAGCAGUGUGGAGGCUGAGGAUGCUGCAGUCUAUACUGUCAGAGACUAUAAUUAUCGCCCCACAGUGCUACAGCUCUGA